CAGGCACGUGGAUCCACCGACCACAAGGACGGAUUCGAUUGGAUUCUGAUUGACCGGCGGACCAGCUCCAGAGUAAUUGUCUAUGGCUGCCCCUGCAAUGACUGAUUGAUUGACAAUGGCUGAGAGACCAGCAAGUGAGUCGCUCCGAGAAAGCGAAGGAGCCCACUCUUGUGCGGCGCUUUGGGAAGACGCCUGUUGGUUUUGACCCCGAAUAAGAAGAGGAAGCUGAGAGCGGGCUGACUGUGGUCCAGUCCUACUUCGAUUCAGUGUGAACUGACACUCUGAUCUGAAGACGCUCAGGCCUUUGUCAUUUCAGCACCCCAGAUGCUAUUUUCCAUUCGAAGAAUGCCGCCACCAGGUGGCGGUAUUUUAACAUGGCCAUGCAAUCCGGGAGGCUCCAGUGAUGGGGAGCGG
rnacentral:lncRNA from 1 species